UUCAUUACUGUCGUUCCAAUUGAAGUGUUGCUCAAAUAUUGAUUCAAUACAUUACCCCGGGCUGACCAAUUCAAUUCAUCAAGUUCCUCAAGAUAUUCAUACACUUCCUAGUAUAAUUGUAAACUUCCUGUUGAAUAGUUUGAAUGCACCAAUCACCUUUGUUGUUUGUGCAACUAACCAAUCAUGAAUAGAAAGGAAGUGACCAGAAAUGAUCAAAUACUUGGAAUUGGCUCUUUCACAGGAAGUGUAUGAAUAUCUCGAGGAACUUGAUCAAAUGAAUUGGUCAGCCCGAGGUAAUGUAUUGAAUCAAUAUUUGAGCAACACUCCAAUUGGAACGACAGUAAGUGUCCUGAGAAUGUUUUUGUAUUUCUAACGCCUCGAUAUACCUUCGUUCCUCGUGGUUACUGAUGUUUGCGUGUAAAAUGCUCCAGGUUAUUUGCGGUAAUUUGCGGAAACAGACAGCAUAUAAGUGUUUAUAUACUGUCUGUUUCUCCAUG